rnacentral:miRNA from 1 species
UCCUUAUAAAGUUCCUAACUUUAAUUCCUGUUUCAUUGACCAAUCAGAUUGCUCAAAAAUAAAAUAUAAAAUCUGAUUGGUCAAUGAAACAGGAUGUUAGGAACUUUUUAAGG